rnacentral:hammerhead_ribozyme from 1 species
AUCCAACUGACGAGUCCCAAAUGGGACGAAACGCGUGUCCUGGAU